GAUUUAUAUAGACACAAAAGAGAAUGAGAAAUACAGGUAGUCCUUGUUUAACAACCUUUCAUUCAGCACAUAUUCUGUUCUGAUGGUGCUGAACAAAAGGCCUUAUGAGAAGUCCUCUAGCUUCUGGCCUUUGCAAUUGCCCAGGGUCAUGUGAAGAAAAUUCAGUCCUGCCCACGUUUACAACUUCUCUCCCACAGUUGACCUUUGUUCUCUUUGCCUCCCCCCUUCCAUUGGGUUCACCAACCUGGCCACACAAGGGGAGAUGCUGUGGAAAUGUACAAUAGACCAGCAAUCCCCAAUCUUUCUGGCUUGGUGGCCCAGCGUCUGGGGCAGGUGGUUCAGUGAGAGUGGCAGGCAUAUGCAUGCAAGAACACACAACUCUACUUGUAUGAGUGACCUGGGGAUUGGGGAUCCCUGAAGCCUUUAGACCAGCAGAUAAGAGCUAUGGGCAGGUAUGUGCUAUGCCACAUCUAACUACUGAUCAAGCCCUCCUUUCACAAAACAACUUAGCUGUGCCAGCAUAAGUGGUGCAAAUGGUAGUACUGGCUGAACCAGUUAUGAAAGAAAACUCUGGUCAGCACACAAAAUGACAUGUGGUAGAACAUUCCAUACCCAUAUAGGCCUUACCAGCCACCUGCGGAUACACCAUGCGGAUACACCCAUUAGAUGUCAAGGUCCUCUUUGAACACGAUGGAAGAACAUCACAACAUUUACAACAUUUAUAAUAUGAAAUAUUAUUUGCUGUCAUCGUCAUAUUGUAACAGCUAUACUAAAGACGGAGAUGACAACUGGCACAUGACAGUAGUCCUCAA